GAGUCUAUAUUCUUUGUCAACAAUCCAAACUUCAUACAGGGGCCCAAUAAAUAUAGUUGCUGCGUGUAGUAAACUUUUCAAAACUUGGUCUGUCGGGAAAGUGAAUACAUUCAAUGAAGGGCCAAUGAUCAACCUUGUUAAAAUACAACAUACAGAUGAUGCUAAUAAGACACUUAUGCAACGUGCCGUAAUAACUUUCGGGUCAUUCCGAUUAAGAGAUGGCCUUGGUCGAGCAACUGGGAACGUGUAUAAAGAAACAACGUAAAUCGCCGUGAAAAAGAACGAAAUUAAAUAAACUCUCAUAAAAAUAAACUGUAAAUUA